GGAGAGAUGGCUGAGUGGACUAAAGCGGCGGAUUGCUAAUCCGUUGUACAAUUUUUUUGUACC
rnacentral:tRNA from 1 species